rnacentral:rRNA from 1 species
UAGGGAAUAUUGGGCAAUGACCGAAAGGUUGACCCAGCGACGCCGCGUGGAGGAUGAAGGCCUUCGGGUUGUAAACUCCUGUCAGAGGGGAAGAAACUCUCGCUUAAUAAACGGGAUUGACUUAACCCUCAGAGGAAGCACCGGCUAACUCCGUGCCAGCAGCUGCGGUAAUACGGAGAGUGCAAGCGUUGUUCGGAUUUACUGGGUGUAAAGGACCUGUAGGCGUCCAGAUCAAUCAGACGUGUAAGCCCCCGGCUUACCCGGGGAACGGCAUCUGAUAUUGUCUGGAUCGAGGAUAGGAUAGGAGAGCGGAACUGUAGGUGUAGCGGUGAAAUGUGUAGAUAUCUACAGGAACAACAGAGGCGCAGGCGGCUCUCUGGCCUAUAUCUGACGCUGAGGGGUGAAAGCUAGGGGAGCAAACAGG